UCCUGGAGACGAAGAUUUAAAAGACAAGAGGAAGAACACCCAAUCUAUGAAGAGAUUCAGGAGGGAGGACUGCAACUAAAACAGCGUGUGAAUGGUUCUGG